UACGGAAGGGGGCUAGCGUUGUUCGGAAUUACUGGGCGUAAAGCGCACGUAGGCGGAUUUAGACAGGGGUGAAAUCCCGGGGCUCAACCUCGGAACUGCCUUUGAUACUGCAAAUCUCGAGUCCGGAAGAGGUGAGUGGAAUUCCUAGUGUAGAGGUGAAAUUCGUAGAUAUUAGGAAGAACACCAGUGGCGAAGGCGGCUCACUGGUCCGGUACUGACGCUGAGGUGCGAAAGCGUGGGGAGCAAACAGG
rnacentral:rRNA from 1 species